UACGUAGGGUGCGAGCGUUGUCCGGAAUUAUUGGGCGUGAAAGGGCGUCGUAGGCGGUUUGUCGCGUCGGGAGUGAAUCCAAUUGGCUUAACUCGGUGGCUUGCUUUACGAUACGGGCAGACUGGAGGUAUGCGAGGGGAGAACGGAAUUCCGUGGUGUAGCGGUGAAAUGCGCAGAAUAUCAGGAGGAACACCGGUGGCGAAGGCAGAUCUCUGGGCCGGUAACUGAACGC
rnacentral:rRNA from 1 species